AGCAUUUAAAAUGUAUCCAGGUCAACCAACUUACAUUAAUAACAUCCACACUUGAGAGGCGGCAGCUGGAAAUAAAGGGUUUUACUCGACUAUCAGAUGGCAUAAAGAGUCUGCUGCCACAUUGUUUGUGUUCCUUUGCUAAGUUCCAUUGAGUGUACUUGCAGCUUUUUGACCAAAGAAGCUUGCCGUAGGAAGUCAGGAAGUGUCAGUCAGCAGGUGCUGCAGAGGCAGCUAACCAGUUUUGCUUCCCACUUCUGGUUCCUUCGACAGUUUGAAUUACACGGAUCACGUCUUCCAUCCUGCAGCAGCUCCAUCAUGGGCAUCUAGGCUGGAGCAAUGGAGCCAAACCAAAGCAAAUCAUCACAGACACUGAGUGGAAACAUUUCCUGUACAUCACCAAGAUGUGAUCCUGACAAGCUGCGGAGCAGAGAUUAUCACUGAUGCUUGACUGCUUUCUGACAGUCAUUUCAACUUGAAGUGAGAGAGAGCCCGACGGUCCGUGAGUCCUGCUGGUUUAUUCCUGCGCUCACUGAAACCUGCCCCGCGCUGCGACGCACAUCUGCGCCCGGACCGCCUUCCCCUCUGCGCUGCCGUUGGACGGAAGGACUGUCAGUCUAGCUACCGGCGAAUAGGCACGCGCCACCUACUGAGCCGUGAACGUCAGGACACUGUUUCAUGAAGCCUCACCAGCCCAUCACGACUCCCUCAGCUCAUCCUGAGGCGUCAUCCUUGGUGCUUGACCCGCCACACCACCAGCAGUGCACAGACUGCCACGCCAGCAGCAAGCACCAAGUGCUUCCCAUGAGAGGUCAGUAAGCCAGGAGGGGUCUUCUCAUGUGAAGAGAUGGUGGCACUGGACUUACCGUCGGCAGCUGGCAUCUCUGAGCCUGAAGGCUUUUCAACCUCUCUGAUCUUCAGAGGUUGUUUGAGCGAGCUUUGUCCAGCCAUGUUGAGCCUCCACGGCUCCUCUGCCACCUGCCCCACGAUCUCCUGCAGACUCUGUGAGGGGGAGCCCACAGGACCACAGCUCUCCACGUGGUCGCUGAUCUGAAGGCUAACAAGGUUGCUGAAGGGCGGCUCCUCCACUGUGCCGGGUGUGGGAUGGACUUGCUCCGGUGGUUGGAUGCUGCAGAGCUGAGUGGGUUUGCUCAGACUCACGGAGGUGUCAGAGCAGGUGCUGGCCUCUUCAGCAGGAAGACCAUGAGGAGUUGCAGUUGUUUUGGCAGAGCUUGACGUUUCUCCAGGCACCUGCAGGAGAAAGCAAAUAUCUGGAUACCAGGUGGGGCGAGGCUACCUGGCGACUCCCGGAGGAGAUCAAGGCCCACACUGAUGGCCUCAGCUAGUUCAACUCAGAACCACCGAUUUCCAUGCCAGAAGCUGAACUACAUGCAGGUGCUAGUAUGAUAAAGGCUCACCUUCUCAGUAGGAGGCUGUGAUGGAGGCACAGGGUGAUGUGCAAAGGUGGCGGUGGCGGUGGCGGCGGUCUCCAGUGGCGGGGUGGUGUCCUGAACUGGGGGUUUCUCAGGAGUCCUGAUCAGGAACGACACUUCUUGGGGGACAUUGGUGAUAUUAUGGUUUGGAUUUGAACUUCUGGCUGGGGUUACUGGAGCGGGACCUUCGAUUUUAUUAACGGAAUCAUCUCUGGUUGCACGACCCGGAGACAGUCCUGAAGUCUGGAUGAAGGAGUUUUCCUCCGGCUCCUGGUGAAGUCUGAUCUCCUCCACUGCGGCCGGAGGAGGCUGCUCAUGACGGGUCUCAGGUGUGCGUGGAGUCGGGGGCGAGGGCGCCACCAUCUGAGGGACACGGGAAGUGGUUACUGCGGCUUGUUGAGUCGGCGUCGCUGCAGAUUCCAAGGAAGGAACCGCAGGAGCAGAAGGAGCUGACGGAGCAACUGGCUGAUUUUUCACUUCGGUUUCUGAGACAGGAAAAUGAUUGGCAGGAGAGUUUGGGCUGAAAGGAGUCUGAGGAGAGACAGGUCUGGGAUCUAGUAGGAAGAAAAAAAGAAAGCAAAUUAGUCUGCUUUACUACAGAAGCUUGAGCUCAAAUCACAUUUGUUUCAACACUCCUCUCACUUGAUCUUGGUGAUGCCCAAACAGCACCACUCUUUUCUGCCCAACAGAAUGUGCAACACGUUCUGUUGGGCAGUUGAUAUUCUGAGCUCUUCCCUGAUCUUUUUUGAAACAAUGACUGCAAAACACUCCCACUUUCACCUGCUCCCAAUCCCUGCCUCGAGCACCACAAGCCUGAAGCCCAAACCUUCACCACUAAGAGGUAAAUCACCACAGGUGGCUCCGUACACAGAAACUCUACGGAAACUUACAUUUCAGUUUGCUGUAUUCUGCCCGGAUCUCGGCUGCGAUCGCCCGGUGCUCACACUUUUCCAGAGCUUGGAUGAACUGAUCCGGCCAGUUGUCUCUCCUCUUCAAACAGUCCAGCAGUUCCACCACCGCGUCUUGAUUGCUAACCAUCUCCCGUUUGGCCCCGAUUGUUUCCUGAGAUUAGAGAUGAUGACCCAAAUCUUAAGGCUUCGGUCUGUGCCAGCGCAGUAUUCCAACAUCAGCAGAGCUGGAGUCUGAGGCUGUGGUUCUCAAAGAGAGACAGUGCAGCUCACCUACCCUGUCAUGCGCCGUCAGGCACGGCAGAUGUGGAAGGAUCUCCCUGACCUUCACUUUGGUCACUAGCUUAGCCAAAUUGCGCCGCACGUAACCGUCGUACAGUUGGUCGUCUGCGUAUGACAUCUAGAUAAAAAAGAAAACACCAUUAAAGACAGUAGAAGUGCCAAUAAACAUGAAAAGGCUGAAUAAGAUUCAACACUUUAGCAUCCAUUUUGAAUCGAAAAUAAACAGUUUCUGUUGCAGAUAAAAGUAUACAUAGAUGACAUCCGUGGAAUCACAGCGUGAAGGACAAGACAGCUUCGAUUUGGAAAGUAAAACCGAAACUAAAAGAUGUCCGAACAUCUUGGGUCCAAAACUGCUGGAAAAAGUUUCAAAACUGGUUUGAAUUGACAGUUUCUAACAACAUUUUUAUUCUGUUUGUUUAAACCUUUUGACCUAAUUUAUUGUUACGUCUUACGAAGUCUUAUUAUUAUUAUUAUUUUAAUUGAGAUAGAAUCGCAAGUUAGAUGAUGAUACAAACAUACAAAGUCCGUCCACCGAGACACUAACCAGCGACCCGCUGAUUGCUAACCUCUAAAAUGCGACUGCCAGACACUCACCUUGUGUUUUUGAUAUUUUCUGUCACGAAAUCUUCCAGUCACUGAACUCGUCUCUGCUUCCUGACAAGCGGCCGCAGCCGUUGGCCAAUAGAGCCGUCGCUCUACGUCAGCUGAGUGGGCGGGGCCAACCAACAGCACGCAAAACGUUUGACUUGCAACAAAUUAGCUAUUAAUAAUCGUAUUGUAUAUGUCGAGUAUUUUUAGUUUGGCAUCACUUUCACUGUCACUUUAUUUAUUAUCUCUUGUAAGCGGACCGAUCCAAUGAAAUCUCCGCCCCCUCAGGACAAAGACAGCGGCCCAUUGGUUCUUUGUUUGAUGGACGGUGUUCUGGUCCAAUCGCAGCUGGACCUACACACCGCGCUGCACAGGGUCGGAGCAGAGACUCAGUUUGGAAUGAGCCGAAUUGCGAACGGGUUAGGAGGGAAGUUCCGUGAGGGAAGUUUCGUGGUAAAAGAAGGAGAAAUCUCGUGCUUCAAAUGUUUGAAAUAUUCUGAUGCUGCAUUCGCGAUAGGUUGUAGCACCUGCUGUAUCAGCAGCCGGCGAGAUUUGGAGGAAGAAGGGCGUGUGUUUCUCUGGGAUUCACGCGCAGCAUUGAACUGCAGGUACACCAGAGGUUAGCGACACAGUUCGCUUUCAAAACAACAAGGUGGAGUGGUUUUACUCCAGUUCAUCUUCGAUUUGGUCUCAGGACAAGUACACGUUCUUAUGAAAUGCUUGUUUUAAUUUGCAAAAGGAUCACAUGGAAAUGUAGGUAUGGACCUACCGUGAUAUUCAAAAGUUUUUUUUUAAUAUCAUCUGAAUCGAUCAUACUGAACACUACCACAAUUCAGCAACAAUAACCUUUUUAAAAGCACACUGGCUAUUCACGACCAUUGCAUUCACAUUCAGCACUGAUCACGUGGACGGACAAGUCGAAGAAAAAAAUAAAUAGAUUAAUGGGAAUUACACUUAUUGGAAAAGGGCGCCACCCAGUGAGCUAAUAUUAAAUUCCACGCAUGAACAAGGUUGGGUAUUAAACGUAUUCGGAGUGACACGUGUUAUGGCGAUUCCAUUAAUAAAUAAGAUUUACCUCUUGCUUUGUUUUCAUC